rnacentral:rRNA from 1 species
UGCGCAGGCGGUUUUUUAAGACAGACGUGAAAUCCCCGGGCUUAACCUGGGAACUGCGUUUGUGACUGGAAGGCUAGAGUACGGCAGAGGGGGGUAGAAUUCCACGUGUAGCAGUGAAAUGCGUAGAUAUGUGGAGGAAUACCGAUGGCGAAGGCAGCCCCCUGGGUCGAUACUGACGCUCAUGCACGAAAGCGUGGGGAGCAAACAGGAUUAGAUACCCUGGUAGUCCACGCCCUAAACGAUGUCAACUAGGUGUUGGGGGAGGAGACUUCCUUAGUACCGCAGCUAACGCGUGAAGUUGACCGCCUGGGGAGUACGGCCGCAAGGUUGAA